UAUGUCCAUUUUGCACCGUGUCCGUUUGGUCUGUGUCCGUUUCACUCAGCCUGCUGUGUCCGUUACUUAUUAUUGUGCGCAUCUGGGACGCUCCUUCUGGGCCACACAAACUAGAGUAUUAUCGCAACGCACAUUCUAGUGACAUAAAAGUAAAAUUAGUUAAUACUCUAAUAUUUCCGCAUUUGGAUUAUUGUUCACUGGUAUAUCCUGACCUCACAAAUGAAUUAAAUAUCAAAUUUUUAAGACUCAUUAAUAGUUGUAUUAGGUUUAUUUUCGACUUGCGUCACGAUGAACAUAUUACUUCAUAUCGUCUUAAACUGAAUUCGCUAUCUGUGCGUAAUCGUAGGUUUUACUUUCUUUGUACGACAACACGUGGUCGCUUUCCUGCCUUCCGAUUCUCCCGAUGGGCGGGGUAGUUUGUUAAGGAUUAUAUUAUGGGAAUAUCGAAUUGACUCAAAUAAAAAGAAAACACAGCGGUUAGGGCGAACCCAAGGAGGAAAACGCUUGCAAUUACAGAUGCGGCAAAAACCCUCUUUCAACGUUUAUUGGAAACGAUUCACUACACUGAAUGAAGAACAAAGAGAAAGUACAAAAGAAUGAACGAGUGAGGUGCGGGCGUCGUGUUCGUGUAUGUAUAUGCGUAAAUCGGAUUGAGAAAAUCGCGACGCAAGUAGGAGACACGGCUCCCGUGGAAGUCAAGUUGAGCAGAUCGCGAUGCAAAUAGGAGGCUCGUCUCCUGCGGACUGAGCUGCAGACUUGGUCGCACGUGACGAAGUUCGAGGGCGACUUGAAUUUCGUGUAAUACGCGGAAGCGUGGUUGCGUGAUUUGAGUUCGUGUAGGCACGUGUUCCAAAGGCCGGGAAUAUUUGUAUCACUCGAAUCACUCGAAGCACUACUGCUAGAUCGGCUAUCCGGAAGAAGACUGAGGCCUUAUAGCCGGCCGAUCUACGAGCCCCCCGCUCCCCGUGCUGUACCGCCGGCGCGCGGCGGCGCACGGGAAAAAUCGGGCGCGCGACGAAAACCGUACUUGUUCACGAAUAAUGCUGAUCGACGCCGGGCAAAUUCCGGACAAGUCUGAGCACCGCCAAUGAAAUGAGUUCGGCUGUGUUCCGACGGAACAUUCUUGCCAUACGAACCUAUAAGUUUUGAAUCCAGACAGUCCCAUCUAUCUCUCCGAAUUAUUCGUCAAAUUUGAUGAGUCUAUAAGAUGCUCUCCAAGAUUCACCAAUCCCAUGCUUAUCUGCUAUGUAUUUCUGGCACUCAUUACCUAUAUCAGUAACUCAAACAUCUUCUCUUUUUAUUUUUAAGGAAGGAAUUUCAUGUAAAUUGAAAUUUUUUAGCAAUUUUUUUUCUUGUUUUUUAUAGGAAAUUUUCCGUAGAAUAUGAAAAAAAAAAAAAAUAGAAACCGAUUUGAGACUUUCUUCUAUGUUAUUUUCGUCGAAAAGUGAAUGGUCGAAUUGGGCGGAGCACUCAGGUAGACGAGCGCUCGUCGGGAAAUCAGCCUUUCGAUCUCUCUGUAAUAAAUGUUAACCAGGCUGUGUUAGAGUAAUGUCGAACAGAAAGAUCUGCUCUAUAGUCCUGGAAUCGCAGAUUAGCAAAAAACUGCGAUCAUUUUUGUGAUCUGUACGAUGCACAGCGCAUUUUCCAGACACCAUUUUCAAGUCGGCAUUGCACCGUUAUUAUAAAAAAUUAAAGUUUGAAAAAAAUAUAUUUUUUACAUUGUAAUGUCCAUAAAUUGUACCUCAAAUUUCCAAUUAAUCUACGCGUUACAUUUUUGAAAAAAAAUUCUUGAAAAACAAACCGUUUACAUGAGGUUCCCCCCUUAAGGAGAAAUUGUUCUCUCAUCUUUUUGAGAUUGAGCGUGGCGAGAGUGUCAGUGUGACAGGCUGCGUUCCGAUAUUCACUGCCAGUACUGAAAAUCUAUAGUUCACGUCAUAUACUGUAGAAUUUUAGUACUGGCAGUGAAUAUCGGAACGCAGCCUUAGUAGUGUGCACAUCUCUUACUCUUCAUUUGCUAUUUUUAAUAUCUGCACUCUGACCAUUGAUACUAUUCCUUUCUAGUUAUUAUGGCUUUUGUAAUUCUUUCCUGCUUGAAAUUGCUCUUAUGUUUCUGAGUCGCACUGCAUAUUCAGCUAUACUUUCUGCCACUGCCUCAUUAUGCAUGUUAAGAGCAUUAGCUUUAGUAUUUUCUGCUGUAUCACUAUUGAUUUUUUAUAAACCUAGUAGAAACUAUAAUAACGGUAUUAAUCAACAGUACUUUAGUAUUUUAGUUUAAAUUUGAAAGGAAUUUCGCUUAUGUUAUAUCAUAGUGCUUUGAUUAUAUUAUAUCAUUUUCAGUAUUUAGUAUGUAGGCUUUAAUCACCGUAUAAAUUUUAGUCACUUAAGCCGAGUGACGCUUUCUGCUACUACUCUAUUGCACGCGUCAUAAUCAUAAAUCCUUAUAUUUUCUACUAGUAGUAUAUAGUAAGUCGUGGGGCGUCAAAAUAAACCUUCACUCCUCCCCUGUUUGACGCCAGGUGGGCGUGUCUAUACAGUGUGACGCCACAAGGAGAGGUGGAAUGGAGCGUUCUGAUUAGCUUACACGUGGACGUUGCUGAAUUUGAACGGAGCGAUUUGAUUGGCAUCCUAUGAGUGCCCAGAGCCUUGAUUGCCUACCCUGAGUAUACUAUUAGAUUUUGAAUAUAUAGGAAUUUUGGGGCUAGGAACCCUCUCGUGAAACUAGCGGAGGUGAAAAAGUGAUGGAAGUCAGAUUCUGGUGCCGAGUGUUUUUCACGGCGGGGGGAGGGGUGGCAAGUACGAAUUUUUGUAAACGGAAUAAUAGUUCUACAAAUCAAGGGUACUUUGUAAGGGAGAGAGAUUUUUAUUGCUAUUAUAUAGAGUUGCCUUAAGAUAAAAAAACAGAAACGUGUAUGUUUUGAUUCUGAUAUAAGAAAAAGUUAUGUAUUAUGGAAGGGAGCGAGAAAGAAAUAGACAAUAGUUAAAAUUACAAAUAAAACAAUAUUUAUUUGUAUAUCUUAUUUUCUAGAAAUACAAAAGUUAGUUUUGCUUUUGUCCGAUGUCGUUUCGAAAAGAUAAUUUUUUUUCUCUUCGUCUGAUGUUGUAUCUUCAACUUUUAUUCAGGCGUUUUGAGUGAUUUCUUCUUCCUCUUCUCUGUCUUCUUCUUCUUCUUUCGUAUGAUCAUUAGAAAAAGUGAUGUGGUUCGAGCUUUAAUUAUUUCGUUCGUUUAAUCAGCGUUUCAAUUUGUAAGCGUUGCAUAACGCGCAAAGAAAUUUUGCGCUAGUGCGAAAUCCGUGAUAACUGCAGCGAUGUCCAAGCUCGUCGACAUCAGGCAAAUUUUUAAAUAUCGAUGAAUCUACUUCCAGAUUAUAUAUGUUUCUUGAGAACAGAUUACGCAAAUAACUUGCUUUUUCUUUUCCCCUGGUAUAGAUGUGGCGGGCUCUACGCGUAAUUUCCCGUAGUCGUCCCGUCAAAUACUUAGGAUUGGCUUCACCGUCGAACCACUCGAUACCGUAAUUUUGCAAAAGCCAGUUGUUUUCUCGUCUGGAUCUCUCGCGUAAUUCAUCAAACGAACAAAGUGGCAGCGAAAUCCAGUGUCCGAAGAUCGGAGCGUUAACCACAACAACAGCAGUUUUUUUUGAAAUAAAUUUUUCUUGGCAUCCCGAAAGCCUUGAAUCUCGACUAUGUUCAUGGUAGUGAGUAAUUUCGUUUCACUCUUUUUUAAAACUCAAGCGAGGUGACUGUCUCCGUGUCUCGUACAAAACUGAUUUCUCUUCUCUGUACGGUUUUGAAAAUAUUGUCGAAAAGAAUUGCGAAAUAAUGGUGGUAGUGUUGGUGGUGGUGGUAAUGAUGACAACGAAGGAAGUGGUGGUGAGGUAUAAUUUACGGAAAGUUACCAAAUAUGUUAACCCUCGUAAAAAGUCUAGCCGGAAAAGUCGACGAUAAUUUGACGAGAAGAGUCGAUUUCUAGAAUGUUAUCAAAUUCUGCAUAAACAAUGCAGUUAAUGAUCGUGGAAAGCGGCUUUGCAAAUCGUACAUCUAAUCGUAGACUGCCAUGUUUCACGAAAUUCGUGAAUGGCCGGCACAAUUUGCGGAUAAAUCGGGGGUGAGAUUGAAAGCGAAAAGCGUGUAUUUGUCAUAAUCUUCCCUACUUACAGAAUUAACUUCGUUCAAAAAGUAAAUACCGAUUCUUGAAAAAAGCGUAUGCUUCAACGUAGAGCGGUUCGUCUUUCGAGAAGUUCGGCUGUAGAGGUCUACUGUACUGGGGACUUAUACACCGUCGACGUAAAGUGAAAAGAAAUUUAUAUUGUAGUUUUUGAAAUUAAACGGAUUUAAUUUUCUAUCCCUGUUAAACGCUUUAUUAUCUACAAAACUGACAAUUACACGUUUCGGGAGUUGCCCGAGGAUCAAGUUAUCUAUCGAUUCUGCUACAAGAUCCGAGUGUAACGUAAAUUUUCAUUUUUACUCUCGUGAGAGGAUAUUUGGCUAUGAUUUUAUUCAACAUUCUAGUGUGCGCGAGUAACACGCCAAGGCUUAUUUUUGUUUUUCUUAUAAGUAGACUAGUGUCUAAAAUACGAAUUUUUGACGUGGAACUAGAUUCCAUAAAACAGAAAGAAUCUUUUGCGGAUGAGUCUCAUUAUAAUUUUUACUUCGUUAAUUAAAAAUUUAUCCUGAUUAAAAACGUCACAGUGAAGAUGUCUUAUGAGUUAGAACAUGAAGGUAGGUGUUUUCACUACCUUCCAUCAAUUUGUCUUGUCGCGUUUCGAAAUCAUAAAACACAAACGCGACGCGGUCUUUGGUACGACUGUUCGGCGUUAUCUUUGUUACUUGCAACCUUUAGCCGUUUAUCCGUACUCGUACUCUCGCCAGGAUUUCCGACUACGGUUUUACGAUGAAGAGGUUGCAUGUAACAAAGAUGAUUUGUCAACUGCAACGAACGGCACACUUUACAAUACGCCGCAUCACAUUUAUGUUUCGACCCUGAUCUUACAAAUUGUUCGCAUUCGUCACAAAUUUUAACAAAAUCGCAGACGGAAGCGCACGAUUUGUCGACAUACAAACCGUUUUCGCGAUGCCGAUCGUAACACGCUUGCCCGAAAAAGCGUUUGCAUCUCCCGCAUCUAACGAGCGCCGCAUCGAGAUUUUCGCAAUGCGACGCUGCGUAACACCGUGGACAUUUUUUCGUGCAACGGUGCUUCCUAUUCGGACGAUAGCCUAUAUACACGCGACUCAAUACCCUUCGCGCGAACCGGCUGCAGCUUUUAAACUUAAUAUCGGGUUAUAGUGACGCGAACGCUCGUAAUACAUGAUGUUAAGGCGAUACGAGGGUUUGCGUCCCAUCGACUCGAGUAGCUCAGAACCGUCAUACAACGGUUUCUCGCCGCGGCCAAAAGUAUUAAAAAUAUAUUAUCACACUAUAAUAUAAUCACACAUAUAAUUACACUAGCAAUAUUUUUCGCAGCAAAAAUUUGUUGGAAGCGCUCAAUUUCGGGAAUUCCGUAGCCCUCCGUAGCCCUUCGGGAUUAUGACACCGGCGUUUCGCGUUAAUUCUAGCGCUAAUUCCCGCUCUAACGCCAAUGUCCGACAUCUAACGGAAUUCUAUGUUCUAUGCAAAUCUCCCACGCGCGCAUUUUCCCGCUGACAAUAAAUACGUGAUAAUAAUGCGCGAAGGAAACACAGAUUAUCACUAUUAUUACUUUGCAAAAUUGAACGCUUCGCGACGUCUUCUCGCGUUAAUUUGUUCGACGAGCGUCCAAGUCCUACAGGCAUCGCGACGUUAAAGAUGCUCACGUGAGACAGAAUCCUCUCGUAAAAUUCGUUAUUUUUUCUCGUGAAAGAGAAUUCUCACAAAAAUUAGUUAUUUCCAUAAUAUACCGUUUUAUAUUAAAUUAUGUAAAAUAUAAUUUUCUAUAUAUAGUAUAAUAUAAUAUUUUCUAUAAUUUUUGUUUUGGAAGUAAUUUGGUUAGGCAAAAGAUAGAAUUGAGCGCCAUCCAAUUAUCAUGUAAUUUACCUUCUAAAUUGUUAUUUUUCCCACUACUUAAAUUUUUAUCCAAUCACGCUUUUAAUUGCUAAUUAUUUUUCUUAAAUUUUAUAUUUAGAUUUUUAAAAAUUUCAGGAGAGUCAAUGAAGAAUCACCUUCUCAUUUUAUUAGUUUAAAUUUAACAGUAAACAAUUAGAUUCGAGAAGAAAGAAUUUUAGUUCGAUCAUGUCUCGUCUUCAACGGUCGCUUUGUAUUCGGAAUUCAAAUUUUUACUCGUUACUUUUUUACAUAAAUUUUUAACUCGAAUGUUUUUGUCAAAUAAUACUUAAUUUUUAUAAAUUUUACUUUCAAUUUUUACGGUUAGAGUUUCUGUGAAACUAACGUAGUACGUAAUUGUUUAAAACUAGAAAGUUUUAAAUAAAACUUUAGUUUAUAAAAAUAAAGUUUUUCCACCGCUUUCUCAUCUGCGUGCGCAACUUUUAUUCGUUACAAACUGAAGUGACGAUAUUACCCGUAAUGUAAACGUGAAUUUAUUCGAAAUUCUUUCUUCCUAGCGUCAACCUCGCGAAGAAAAAGUUUCCUUCAGUCUUCUCAAUCUUUUCGAUUUGAGACCGCGAGAGUUACACGUCUUAUUUUGCUCGGUGUCUUUUUAUUCUGAGGCUUCAAACAACGAAGAAGAAGAAGAAAAAGAAGAAGAAGAAGAAAGAACAACGGUCAACUAAUAACAAAGUGCUAAUUACAACUCCUCGAACUAGUCAAUUUCCGAUAAUUCCACACAACUUCAUAUACUGCUCUCCACUUCGUAUCUUAAUACGAAGAGGAUACAAGUCGGAUUAUAAUUGACGAACGAGGGAGUCUUCGUUCCGAUAAUAAAAUUAAGCAGCAGCAACGCUGGCGGUAUUAAUCUCGAUCCCGACUCAUGGCUACAAUUUCAAGAUCAUAUGAGUCUCAUGAGCGAAUACUUGAGUGGCGUUGAUAAAUUAAAGCCGAAUUCCGUCAAUAUAAAAAACAUCAGCAUCUGCUUCACCUCGGCCUAUGGAUCAAGAUCCAUAUUAAUAACGUACAAGGAAACUGAAGAGGAACGUUCUUCGAAGUCGUAAAGGAUGCUACGCGAGCGAUGGCUAAAACCUUUUAGGCAUUGCUCAGGUCAUGACCUUAACAACAUAUGUCAAGGUCAAGGUCAUUGUGGCUGGAUUCUCUAUUCAGCAUUUUUACCAUGAUAGUCUGAAAAAGCUUAAUGAAACGUACUAAUUAUCGCUCGCAAAAUCUUAUAUCGGAGAUCACAUGCAUAAUAGUGAUUAUGAAUUCAAAAGAAAGCAGGCAUCCAGAUUAUGAUCGUGCAGAUAUGGUUAUUUAAAAUCAAUUAUUUAUUCAGGCCAGGAUAAAUUCAAAAACUGUACAAAGCUGUGUUCAUGUUCAUGCAUUGAUUUCGUAUUUGGGUAAUAGCAGAUAUGACGAAAUACUAAAAUUACCUGCUGACUUCUUAAAUCGGCCUCUUCCAUCAGGCUUUCCUGUUGCAGAAAGUGACAAUGAACUUUCUGAUGAGUAGAAUUACAAGAGACAAACAUAACAAAAUAAGUCACCUCAAUAAGCAGUUGAAAAAAA